UACGUAGGGUGCGAGCGUUGUCCGGAAUUAUUGGGCGUAAAGCGCACGUAGGCGGCUUCUUAAGUCAGGGGUGAAAUCCUGGAGCUCAACUCCAGAACUGCCUUUGAUACUGAGGAGCUUGAGUCCGGGAGAGGUGAGUGGAACUGCGAGUGUAGAGGUGAAAUUCGUAGAUAUUCGCAAGAACACCAGUGGCGAAGGCGGCUCACUGGCCCGGUACUGACGCUGAGGUGCGAAAGCGUGGGGAGCAAACAGGG
rnacentral:rRNA from 1 species